rnacentral:rRNA from 1 species
AGCAGCCGCGGUAAUUCCAGCUCCAAUAGCGUAUAUUAAAGUUGUUGCAGUUAAAAAGCUCGUAGUUGAAUUUCGGGAUUGACACAUCGGUCGUGCCUUAAGGGGUAUGAACUGGUGUAGUCAAUUUCUCACCUUCUGGAGAACCGCGAUGCCCUUAAUUGGGUGUCGCGGGGAACCAGGACCUUUACUUUGAAAAAUUAGAGUGUUUAAAGCAGGCAUUUUGCUUGAAUACAUUAGCAUGGAAUAAUAAAAUAGGACGGCAUGAUUCUAUUUUGUUGGUUUCUAGGAUCACCGUAAUGAUUAAUAGGGAUAGUUGGGGGCAUUAGUAUUCAAUUGUCAGAGGUGAAAUUCUUGGAUUUAUUGAAGACUAACUACUGCGAAAGCAUUUGCCAAGGAUGUUUUCAUUAAUCAAGAACGAAAGUUAGGGGAUCGAAGACGAUCAGAUACCGUCGUAGUCUUAACCAUAAACUAUGCCGACUAGGAAUCAGACGAUGUUAAUUUUUAAUGUACU